CCUACGGGUGGCUGCAGUCGAGAAUCUUCGGCAAUGGGCGAAAGCCUGACCGAGCGACGCCGCGUGUGGGAUGAAGGCCCUCGGGUUGUAAACCACUGUCGUAGGGGAGGAAGGCUCCGUGAAGAGCGGGGUUUGACCUAUCCUAGGAGGAAGUACGGGCUAAGUUCGUGCCAGCAGCCGCGGUAAUACGAACCGUACAAACGUUAUUCGGAAUCACUGGGCUUAAAGGGUGCGUAGGCGGCCAUGUAAGUGAGGUGUGAAAUCCCUCGGCUCAA
rnacentral:rRNA from 1 species